AGUGAACGCUGGCGGUAGGCCUAACACAUGCAAGUCGAACGGCAGCACAGUAAGAGCUUGCUCUUACGGGUGGCGAGUGGCGGACGAGUGAGGAAUACAUCGGAAUCUACUUUUUCGUGGGGGAUAACGUAGGGAAACUUACGCUAAUACCGCAUACGACCUACGGGUGAAAGCAGGGGAUCUUCGGACCUUGCGCGAUUGAAUGAGCCGAUGUCGGAUUAGCUAGUUGGCGGGGUAAAGGCCCACCAAGGCGACGAUCCGUAGCUGGUCUGAGAGGAUGAUCAGCCACACUGGAACUGAGACACGGUCCAGACUCCUACGGGAGGCAGCAGUGGGGAAUAUUCGACAAUGGGCGCAAGCCUGAUCCAGCCAUACCGCGUGGGUGAAGAAGGCCUUCGGGUUGUAAAGCCCUUUUGUUGGGAAAGAACAGCAGCAGGUUAAUCCCCCGCUGUUCUGACGGUACCCAAAGAAUAAGCACCGGCUAACUUCGUG
rnacentral:rRNA from 1 species